AUACGUAGGGGGCGAGCGUUGUCCGGAAUGACUGGGCGUAAAGGGCGUGUAGGCGGCCGAUUAAGUCUGGAGUGAAAGUCCUGCUUUCAAGGUGGGAAUUGCUUUGGAAACUGGUUGGCUUGAGUGCGGAAGAGGUAAGUGGAAUUCCCAGUGUAGCGGUGAAAUGCGUAGAGAUUGGGAGGAACACCAGUGGCGAAGGCGACUUACUGGGCCGUAACUGACGCUGAGGCGCGAAAGCGUGGGGAGCGAACAGGAUUAGAUACCCUGGUAGUCCACGCGGUAAACGAUGAAUGCUAGGUGUAGGGGGUAUCGACCCCUCCUGUGCCGGAGUAAACACAAUAAGCAUUCCGCCUGGGGAGUACGGCCGCAAGGUUGAA
rnacentral:rRNA from 1 species